UAACCGGCUGUAAUUUGAUUUAACUCUUAAAAUAUUUGAGUUACUUGUCCAGCAUUUCUGUAAGCGACCAGGAUAAAUAUUCAUUUUUUCAUUAAUUAAUACAAAUAGCUGUGCGUACAUUAGAGAUGUCUCCGGUAUUAUCUAUUAUUUCUCGGUUUUCACGAUUUCAAAAGUAAAUCGCCGUGGUCGCGCCUGUGCGAUUUUAGAUUCCACAGAGAACAGCUGUUACGUAAACAAAAAUUGUUGACCGUGUACGUAAUUAUAAUUUUUAAUUGUGCUAUAAUAUUCGGGCUGCUGUUGUAUGCGUCCGUUUAUGGUUCCAACGACGUAGGUAUAUAUAAUAAAUAUUUCUACAUAAUAUUAUUUUUAAUACGCGAGCGUAAGCGUACACUUAAACGCUCAAUGACGAGUUUCGUGACAUUUUGCCAACGUAUUAUUCCGUCUGACCGUAAAAGUCAUUUUUUCGACUCUCGAAUCUGAUUAUUUUUAUUUUCAUGUCGGUCGUAAUAAGUU